UUUAUUCGGCGCCGCCGCCAGAGGAAUGCCCUGUUUGGAGUAUGACCGAUAUCAUGUUACCCUUGAACCUGGACUGAUUAAAAUGAGUUGCGUAUUUCUGAGGAUGUGGUGUUGAAAGAUGCCAGUUUAGCAAAUAUGGAAUACUGAAUUACUGUGAGACGUCUGCUGGCUCUCUCUUCGUAGCGUAGCUUGGAGGUAGCUCGUCGAACGCUGACCUGGUUAUGGGUUUACGAUGUUCCAAACCGAUGAAAGAGAAACAGGAUUCACUCGAGAAUGACCAAAAAACCAACAACAAAUACGUGAAAAACGCGCGCGAAGGUGAAAACGUACAACCGCUGAUCCAUGUCACUACGGCUUCAACCAGCAGCGAUCAAAAUGUGAACAACGAGAACAAUGCGAGCAACACUGCAGCACCAACACAAUCAAUGAUCAUCAGAAGAAGGAACACAGAGUACAAACCACGACCCAAGUCUAUGGAUGAUUAUACCGAUACUGCUACUACAUUGGCACUCUCAAAACUACGCCAUUUAAUUUAUCAGUUAAAUGAAGGGAAAAUCAACUCAGUUUCGGAUAUGAAAGAAGAGCUUAGCCAGGCAGUGGCAAUCAUGGAUGUCGCAUCGUCGAACAUGCGAGAUUACAGAGGAUCCAUGAGCGCCAUCAGCGAUAUAGACGACGAGCUUUACACUGAUGUAGUAAGUGACGAGGUUCGUGAAUGGAUAGCAACAACGUUUGCGCGUGGACCGGGCACGUUGCGGAGGAAGAGUAUCAUGCCAAGGCACACGUUUAGGGGUGUGGUGCAUGCUGUUAAAGCCAGUCUCUACGUUAAUAAAAUAUUAAAAAAUGCUUCUGAACGAAACAAGCUUCAAGUACCAGAAGAAGUGCUGAUACAUUUCGAAAAAUUAAACGAGUGGACAUUUGAUGUGUUUUCACUGAGCGAAGCAACUGAAGGUCAUUCAUUACGAUUCAUGGGGCACGAAGUGCUCAGUAGGAUGGAUCUUUUACGAUUAUUCAAGGUGAAUGUUGGAAGCCUAGACCGUUUCUUGUUAGCUGUAGAAGAAGGCUAUCAAAAGAAUGGCAACCCAUACCACAACGAAUGUCACGCCACAGAUGUCACGCAUACUGUCUUUUACUUUCUAAGUGUGAUUGGUCUAGCGCAAUGUCUGUCAGACUUGGAAAUCUUCGCUCUUCUUCUCUCUGCCAUUAUUCAUGAUUUGGAACAUACAGGAACUACAAACGCUUUUCACAUUAAUUCAAGGUCAGAAAUGGCUUUAUUGUACAAUGAUCGCUCCGUACUUGAAAACCAUCAUCUUACCGCGGCAUUUAAACUAUUACAAGAUAAUGACCGAAAUAUUUUAGCAAAUCUAAAUGACAAUCAAUACAGUGGACUUCGGUCUCUUGUGAUCGAUAUGGUGCUAGCAACAGACAUGACGUCCCACUUCGAACAGCUAAGAACUACAAAAGUUGCUUUAGUUGGAGGAAGUCCAAUAGAAAAUAGCGAACUGCUACAGUUGAUCUUACACGUAGCGGAUAUCAGCAAUCCAACCAAAGACUGGCAAAUACACCAGCAAUGGACACAAAGAAUUAUGGAAGAAUUUUUUACUCAGGGCGAUAUGGAGAUUGAACUGGGACUCGACGUGUCCCCACUGUGUGACCGCUCCUCAACUCGUAUUCCUGAGAGUCAAGUUGGAUUUAUUGAUGUCAUAGUGUCGCCAGCCUUUGAAGUAUGCAGUGAAGCGCUGGAAGUGUUCCUGCAAGAAAACUCCACCCAGACCAAUGUCGACAUGUCACGAGUUCAACCCUGGUCAAAACCUUUGGCUAAUAAUAGAAGGAAAUGGAAGGAACAGUUCCAAGUAAUCAACAAAGAUGGUCGGACGGGGUCUACUCUUAGUGUGUGCAGUAAGAACUCCACUUCAAAUCUUCAGGACUUGAAUCAAGAUGAAUCAACACUCGGUAGACGUAGCCCUUGGGGCAGCAGAACUCACUUAACGCCUAUUAUUUCAUGACAUCUUGAAUGAUUACACCGAGCAGAAUGCCUAAUGUGGACAUUACAAUGCACGUGAGAAUGCGAUGGGAUUGCAUGCGUGCAUGAUUCAUCAUUGAAACACGCCUGGUUAAAUGCAUGGAGAUACAAGCGCUGUAUUUAUAGCUCUUCGUUUCUAGAUUAACAUUAACUUGGACAUGGUCGAUAAAGUACGUUUGGCUCAAGGCGUCAAGUGUCAAAUACAUUACGUUUAUUUUAAAAGAGAUGGCUGACAAAGCUACAGAUGGUAUAUUGAUUACGGUCACCAUAGUAUAUGUGGAAAACAUAGGGAACCCAUGAGGAGUAAAAACAAUGCUCGUAAACAGAGUAAAGGAGUCGUAAAGGAAUAUGAUAGCCAAAGAGUACAAAUAUUAAAAGCGUGCAAUACUUAAAUUACAAUAUUUAACACUAAAUAGCACUAAUCAAACAAUGGAAAACCACAGAAUUAGCAUACUUUAGCAGUAUUUAGUACUAUUUAAGGUGACGUGUUUGUACUCUAGCGCCGUUUCAUUUCAUUGGACGUUGUGUGAAAUUCUUGUAUUUUACUUUUUUACAUUUGAAAAAGUUCGCAUUGGGGAAAAAUAUUAGAAUAACAUUGAAUAAAAAAUUGAAUAAUUUUUAGAUAAUACAAAUAUAAAUAUGACGCUUAGAUGUGUUGUGUUACGCGUUGUUCUGAUUACUAAUAAAAGGGGAAAAUAAAUUUUGAUAUCGCAAAUCAAA
rnacentral:misc_RNA from 1 species